CUCCAGAGGGAAGUACUUUCU
rnacentral:miRNA from 2 species